AGCGGCGGACGGUGAGUAACACGUGGGUAACCUGCCGUCAAUAGAGGGGAAUAGCCUUCCGAAAGGAAGAUUAAUACCGCAUAAGAUUGUAAUAUCGCAUGAUAUAGCAAUUAAAGGAGUAAUCCGCUAUGAGAUGGACCCGCGUCGCAUUAGCUAGUUGGUGAGGUAACGGCUCACCAAGGCGACGAUGCGUAGCCGACCUGAGAGGGUGAUCGGCCACAUUGGGAACUGAGACACGGCCCAGACUCCUACGGGAGGCAGCAGUGGGGAAUAUUGCACAAUGGGGGAAACCCUGAUGCAGACCAACGCCGCGUAGAGUGAUGACGGUCUUCGGAUUGUAAAGCUCUGUCUUCAGGGACGAUAAUGACGGUACCUGAGGAGGAAGCCACGGCUAACUACGUGCCAGCAGCGGC
rnacentral:rRNA from 1 species